AACAGGAUUAGAUACCCUGGUAGUCCACGCCCUAAACGAUGUCUACUAGUUGUCGGGUCUUAAUUGACUUGGUAACGCAGCUAACGCGUGAAGUAGACCGCCUGGGGAGUACGGUCGCAAGAUUAAAACUCAAAGGAAUUGACGGGGACCCGCACAAGCGGUGGAUGAUGUGGAUUAAUUCGAUGCAACGCGAAAAACCUUACCUACCCUUGACAUGGAAGGAAUCCUCGAGAGAUCGGGGAGUGCCCGAAAGGGAACCUUUACACAGGUGCUGCAUGGCUGUCGUCAGCUCGUGUCGUGAGAUGUUGGGUUAAGUCCCGCAACGAGCGCAACCCUUGUCAUUAGUUGCUACGAAAGGGCACUCUAAUGAGACUGCCGGUGACAAACCGGAGGAAGGUGGGGAUGACGUCAAGUCCUCAUGGCCCUUAUGGGUAGGGCUUCACACGUCAUACAAUGGUACAUACAGAGGGCCGCCAACCCGCGAGGGGGAGCUAAUCCCAGAAAGUGUAUCGUAGUCCGGAUUGUAGUCUGCAACUCGACUGCAUGAAGUUGGAAUCGCUAGUAAUCGCGGAUCAGCAUGUCGCGGUGAAUACGUUCCCGGGUCUUGUACACACCGCCCGUCACACCAUGGGAGCGGGUUUUACCAGAAGUAGGUAGCUUAACCGCAAGGAGGGCGCUUACCACGGUAGGAUUCGUGACUGGGGUGAAGUCGUAACAAGGUAACC
rnacentral:rRNA from 1 species